GUACCUGCGGAGGGAUCAUUACAGAGUUGCAAAACUCCCAAACCAUCGUGAACGUUACCUACAUCGUUGCUUCGGCGGGUGGCGGGCUUCGGCCCUGCCCUCGGCCCCUCUCGGGGGCCCGCCGGAGGUACACCAAACUCUUGAAUUUACAUGGCCUCUCUGAGUCUUCUGUACUGAAUAAGUCAAAACUUUCAACAACGGAUCUCUUGGUUCUGGCAUCGAUGAAGAACGCAGCGAAAUGCGAUAAGUAAUGUGAAUUGCAGAAUUCAGUGAAUCAUCGAAUCUUUGAACGCACAUUGCGCCCGCCAGUAUUCUGGCGGGCAUGCCUGUCCGAGCGUCAUUUCAACCAUCAAGCCCCCGGCUUGUGUUGGGGACCUGCGGCACACCCGCAGGCCCUGAAAACCAGUGGCGGGCUCGCUGUCCACACCGAGCGUAGUAGCAUAUCUUUGUCUCGCUCAGGGCGUGCGGCGGGUUCCGGCCGUGAAACCCACCUUCUCGAAGGUACCCAAAGGUUGACCUCGAUCAGGUAGGAAACCCCCCCUC
rnacentral:rRNA from 1 species